rnacentral:rRNA from 1 species
AUGGGGGAUGACCUGGACGGCAGCGCUGCCACAGGCGGCGCCUGCGAGCGAAGAACACGGUCAUCUCAGAGAACAUCAUAGAUGGAUCCGGCUAGAGCAUUUAAUCUAAGUGUUAGAAUGGAGACAUGCAUUUUAUCUGGUGCUGGUACAAAAGGAAAAGAACAAGGCUUCACAUUUCCAUUAGUUGUGGACAACAGUAGCACAUUUGAUCAGUUAAGGGCAACAGUUGGUGCCAAAUAUCCUUGGGGAUUAUAUGAUGCUGUGGAGAUAAGGUAUUGGGGUGCAUCCAAAGUUGCUUGGGUUCCUAUUCAGUCUGAUAAGGAUGAGAAACUUUACCCAAGAUAUACUGAGCACAACAUGGAGGAAGAUAAAGCAAAUGAGUCCUACAUUCCUGCUGAAUUUUCAGAUACAGAUGAAGAUGAGAAGCUAGAGGAAAAGGACAAUGCAGAAUUUGGAACUGAAGAUGAGGACAUACCUAUUAAGGUCAACCCUUACCCUCACAAUUGUCCAAGUGUUAAUCGAUCUCAGAGAUUGAGGGCUGCAAAGAGAAGAUGGAUAGCAGAUGCUUAGCUACAUAUGCUGAUAACCUUCCAGCUUUGGAAGGAGAAAAAGUGGGAAAUUGUGAAUCUAGGAUUUAAACUCUGUGCUCCAGUUCAAAACAGAGCACUAGGCAGGCCUAGGAAAACUAGGAUAAGGUCUAGCAAUGAAGGAAAGGGACUUGGUCCCAGGAAGUACAAGUGUGGCAGGUGUGGAAGACUAGGCCACCAUGCAAACAAGUGCAAAUAUUCAGUUGAUGUAGCAUUUGGUGAAGAUGAACAUUGGGGAGCAGAGAAUGCAGAAGAGCCAGAAGUGAAAGAGCCAGCAGAUCCACUAGAAUUAGUUGAUGGAACGGAUGGAGAGGAACGAUAUCCACCAGCAGAUCCACUAGAAGUAGUUGAUGGAACAGAUGGAGAGGAAGUACAUCCACCAGCAGAUCCACUACAAGAGCCAGCUAGAGAGCCAACACCAUCAUCUACAAAUGCUAGUGUAGUCAGCCCCAGGAAGAAUUACAAGAGGGUAGCAACUAGAGGAGCUUCUCCAGUUAAGAAGCAGAUAACAACACCUCAAGUUUCUGAUGUACUAGCCCCCAACCCAGCAAAGAACACCAGAAGCAGAAGUAGGCUAGCCCCAAAUCCAGCUGAGAACACCAGGAGCAAGAAACUGAAGUUCUAG